CGGGGAGUGGCGCAGCGGUAGCGCACCUGGUUUGGGACCAGGGGGUCGCAGGUUCAAAUCCUGUCUCCCCGACCA
rnacentral:tRNA from 3 species